rnacentral:lncRNA from 1 species
CCAUUUUUUCUUUGAUUUAACACCAUCAAUGACAACAUCGGGAGCUGAAUUAAUUUCCUCCAUUGAUGGUGUUGGUGGCAUCAACGAUAAAUCAUUUUCUUGAUAAUGGAAGAAAGAAAAGUCAAGAAAUUUCUCCCACAAAUUUCAAUGAUAAAUCGUUUGAUUUAACACCAUCAGUGGCAGUAUUAACGAUAAAUUGCUUUCUUGAAAAAAAAAAGAAAAUAAUCAAGAAAUUUCUCCCACAAAUUUCAAACCUAAAGGAGAAAUUGAUGAUGAAAGAAGAAGUAGCAAAUAAGGGAAUACACAGAUCUUUAGGUGAGAAAGAAACAUGUCUUUCCCUCAUUUGUGAUGUAUAUGAUAUUUUAAGAGAAAAAUAAGGAAAAAUCACAUAAAUAUACAAUGUUAGAGUCUAUAUUACAAAAUAUACCACAAGAUUUUAUUUUACAAAAUAUACAAUAGUCUAUAUUACAAAAUAUACCACAAAUUCUAUUUUGACCUUCCUUCAGAUCCACAGGCAUUACAGGUAAAAGAUCGGCUCGAAUAAGUAGGAGUUGGAAGAAGGGUUAAAGGGUGAGAAAGAUGAGAAGGGUGCACCAGAGAACGAGGCGCGUUGAGACAAUUAUCAUGGAGGUAGAAAUUGAAAGAGAUGCAACCAUGAAAGGGCUAAAAAAUGGGCUUCUCACAGGCUUGACAUUGAAGUCCCUCACUUUCAUCAAGAACAGGUGAUUUCAAAAUAUGGUAGUGGCUGAAAUGUUGGUUAUAUUACACCAAUACUUUGUCUCCAUGUGUUUUCAAUGUGUGAUUUCUUUUGGUGUGAGAUGGACAUGGUUUAUGCGCUGCUGCUGUUCGCCUGUUUCCGGCGAAUAUCACUCGAAAAACCAAGAUUAGGGGCAGGUUUGGGGGGGUGUUUGAUGGGAAUUAACAGUGCAUCCAAUUCCGUGAAACUAUGUACUGAUACAUAAAGUUAUUCCCAUUAAAGCUGCAGUACUAGAUGCUACUAUAACUUUUCGAGAUCUUGAUAGCUUUCUUUAAGAAAUAAUCCGUUUUCCGUCAUUCUUCACUCUGCUCUCUCCGACCUCUUCCCCUCUUAGAUUUUUUCCAUUUUUUUGGCGAUGGCGCGUAUGUGGG